UUCUUCUCUCUGCUGUGAGGCCGAAAGCUGCUUUACAUGCAGAUGUGAUGUGCAAUUCAUCGUGUUUCGAUUCAGCUGCAGAAUACGUUUCACUUAUUAAACGGAGUUGCACGUAGUGUUGUGCGCAUGCGCAAAAUGUCCGAAGUCCGUAGAAUCUGCUUACAAACAUCGGGGACAACAGAUUACCGAGCCAAAUGGAAAUAUUUUCUCUGACACGGACUAUGACUAGAAAACAUCAAAGGUUAACAUAACUUUAAGGAGAACAUUACUUAAAUAAAUAUAUAAAAGAACUUAGAAUAUAUAAAAACAAACAUAUUUCUACGAGUUUCCGAAAUCUGCUGGGAUUUCUACCACCACCCUGACAACUGGAGUCUGUGUUUUAUUGAAGAAUAAUGGGAUCUACUUUGUUUGGACUUGGAGCGGUUGGCCUAUAACACAAUUUGUUGUUCUCGUUAGAAAUGAAUUAAGAAAUCAUCAAUUUCAAAGAAAUCCUGUAUCACUGCCCUGAUCAUUCAAUAAAUCCAGAACAACAAAGAAAUUAUCCAGUUACACAAGGCUGAUGUCCACAACCAUUGAGAGAGCCUGAGCCACAGGGUAAACACAGGAGAAACGCAGAUGAAGAUUCUUCUGAUGGUUGGUCCCAUUCCCCUGAAUAGUAUUCUCAUACAUGAAGGUUGUACCACACAGAUGGUCGUCAUUGUCAAAAUGGAAGAUGAGUCGUCCGUUCUGGAGAGUCCCAUUGCAGGAUCUGUCUUGGAGAUGGAGAGCACUGGAGUGGAAGCCCGCUUCAAACAGCUGGCAGCGAGAUACUGACAUGGUGCCAGAACUGCUGGAGCAUUCAAUGUUUGCAUCUGCCCACCAAAGACAGAAACAUUUAGGCUUUAUUUACUCAGAUGGGAAAAAAAACUAUCUAUAAUUUCUAUUUCAACGGGGACCUGAUAAGACAGCAGCACCAUUUACAUGAAUCGUCAUUUACAUUCAAUGAAACAUGUUAAGUUUUAAAAGCAUC